rnacentral:lncRNA from 10 species
AUGUUAUCUGGCUUGAUAUGCCAGUUUUUCUGAGAAAAUCACUCUGCCAGUGGUGACAGAAUGGAAGAGCUGAAAACAUCUUCUUUUUUCAAAGUCAUAUGUCACGAACCAAGGAGACUCCAAAAAAUAAAUUAUGGAAGAUUAUGACCACUGCUGCCAAGGAUACAGUGAAAUAGAUCCAUUAAAGAAUUGAGAUUGCAGGACACACUACCACCCUGAAAACUGGAGAGAGGAAAAAUACAGAGAGGAAGCAGAUCAGCUUACCUGAAGCAGAGGCCGCUGGAAUCUGUGACAGGCUGCAUUUGUAACCAAGCCGUGGUCCUUUUCAUUGCAUCUUGCCAGAAUGAAGAAGAGCUGAUCUCUCCAGUUCCUGUUAUUCCCCUUACAUUGCCCA